CUACGUGCCAGCAGCCGCGGUAAUACGGAAGGUCCAGGCGUUAUCCGGAUUUAUUGGGUUUAAAGGGAGUGUAGGCGGUCUGUUAAGCGUGUUGUGAAAUUUAGGUGCUCAACAUCUACCUUGCAGCGCGAACUGGCGGACUUGAGUGCACGCAACGUAUGCGGAAUUCAUGGUGUAGCGGUGAAAUGCUUAGAUAUCAUGACGAACUCCGAUUGCGAAGGCAGCGUACGGGAGUGUUACUGACGCUUAAGCUCGAAGGUGCGGGUAUCGAACAGGAUUAGAUACCCUGGUAGUCCGCACGGUAAACGAUGGAUGCCCGCUGUUAGCGCCUGGCGUUAGCGGCUAAGCGAAAGCAUUAAGUAUACCACCUGGGGAGUACGCCGGCAACGGUGAAACUCAAAGGAAUUGACGGGGGCCCGCACAAGCGGAGGAACAUGUGGUUUAAUUCGAUGAUACGCGAGGAACCUUACCCGGGCUUGAAC
rnacentral:rRNA from 1 species